rnacentral:rRNA from 1 species
CUACGGGCUGCACCAGUGAGGAAUAUUACACAAUGGGGGGAACCCUGAUGCAGCAACGCCGCGUGGAGGAUGACGCAUUUCGGUGUGUAAACUCCUUUUAUAUGUCAAGAAAAUGACGGUAGCAUAUGAAUAAGCACCGGCUAACUCCGUGCCAGCAGCCGCGGUAAUACGGAGGGUGCAAGCGUUACUCGGAAUCACUUGGCGUAAAGGACGCGUAGGCGGGUUGGAAAGUCAGGUGUGAAAUCCUACAGCUUAACUGUAGAACUGCACUUGAAACUUCUAAUCUAGAGUAUGGGAGGGGGAGAUGGAAUUAGUGGUGUAGGGGUAAAAUCCGUAGAUAUCACUAGGAAUACCUAAAGCGAAGGCGAUCUCCUGGAACAUUACCGACGCUAAGGCGUGAAAGCGUGGGGAGCAAACAGGAUUAGAUACCCUUGUAGUC